UCUAUAGCUUUGUUCCAAUAGAGAUUGUUGACUUGUAUAGCUUAGUUCCUUAUGUCUAUGUAUACCCAUAAUUAUCUAUGUAUAUUUCUUGUUGCAUAUUUCCAAUUGAAUACAUUAAGAAUCAAUUAUACAGAAACCCAACUUCAUCUCCUGCUUCUCAAAACAUGGCUGGUGAGGAAACCCCCAAAUCCAUUUAUGAUUUCACUGUCAAGGACAUACGCGGAAAUGAUGUACCUCUGAGCAAUUACAAUGGGAAGGUUGUUCUGAUUGUGAAUGUUGCUU